rnacentral:rRNA from 1 species
CGCCCGCCGCGCGCGGCGGGCUACGGGAGGCAGCAGUGGGGAAUAUUGCACAAUGGGCGCAAGCCUGAUGCAGCCAUGCCGCGUGUGUGAAGAAGGCCUUCGGGUUGUAAAGCACUUUCAGCGGGGAGGAAGGCGGUGAGGUUAAUAACCNCGUCGAUUGACGUUACCCGCAGAAGAAGCACCGGCUAACUCCGUGCCAGCAGCCGCGGUAAUA